rnacentral:snoRNA from 1 species
AAAAAUGAUGAUUCUAUGCGCAGAAAUAAAAAUCAAAGUCGUACUACUUAUGUAGAAUGAUGAUACUGGAUGUCAUCCUUGAACUGAUUUUUUUUUU